GAUGAACGCUGGCGGCGUGCCUAAUACAUGCAAGUCGAGCGAACAGAUGAGGAGCUUGCUCCUCUGACGUUAGCGGCGGACGGGUGAGUAACACGUGGAUAACCUACCUAUAAGACUGGGAUAACUUCGGGAAACCGGAGCUAAUACCGGAUAAUAUAUUGAACCGCAUGGUUCAAUAGUGAAAGACGGUUUUGCUGUCACUUAUAGAUGGAUCCGCGCCGCAUUAGCUAGUUGGUAAGGUAACGGCUUACCAAGGCAACGAGGCGUAGCCGACCUGAGAGGGUGGUCGGCCACCCUGGAACUGAGACACGGUCCAGACUCCUACGGGAGGCCGCAGUAGGGAAUCUUCCGCAAUGGGCGAAAGCCUGACGGAGCAACGCCGCGUGAGUGAUGAAGGUCUUCGGAUCGUAAAACUCUGUUAUUAGGGAAGAACAAAUGUGUAAGUAACUAUGCACGUCUUGACGGUACCUAAUCAGAAAGCCACGGCUAACUACGUG
rnacentral:rRNA from 1 species